UAUGCUGCACGAAGCGACAUGGGUGCUGAGUACUGGUUCGACAGGUGCCAAGGGCUCCUGAGAGGCUGUUUCUCUGGAAGAAGGGCCGGCUGGCUUGGGGAUCAGCGGCUGUAUGAAAGAGGUCCAAGAGCGCUCCCAUCCCUUCCAGUGAGAACCAUGGAUGAAGAAUGUCAACAGUGAAGUGGGGAGCAGACACUAGGAUGAAACCCCCACAACCUCGGCGUUGGACUUCCUGGCCUCCAGAACUUGUAUCUGUGUUAAUUCACAGGAAGAGGAUGAAGUUCUAUUGUGUUGACACAGGAGGUUCAACAGCACUGGGAACAGUCCCUGGUGCCAUCCUGGUAUUUGUGUGUGCAGCAGAAAGCCGGAAGUGGUUCCACCUGAUCCCCUCUGUCCCACAUCUCCCCUGUGGGAGGGGUCAUUGCUCAGUGAGGGGGGAAAGCCAGUGGGUGGAAGAUGUGAGCCACUGACUUCAUCACACGUGGUGUGGUCCCUCCUAAGUAGAACCUAGAUCUCCUGCACUUCCUCAGCCCAUGCACCAUUACCCACAUCUUACUGCAUGUGUAAACCCUUCCCCAACAUCUUUGGACACACCUCUGGAAACAGACUCCGAUCUGGAAGCUGAGUGGCUUGCCCAAGAAAGUGAGAUGGGA
rnacentral:lncRNA from 1 species